GAUGAACGCUGGCGGCGUGCCUAAUACAUGCAAGUCGAGCGAACAGACGAGGAGCUUGCUCCUCUGACGUUAGCGGCGGACGGGUGAGUAACACGUGGAUAACCUACCUAUAAGACUGGGAUAACUUCGGGAAACCGGAGCUAAUACCGGAUAAUAUAUUGAACCGCAUGGUUCAAUAGUGAAAGACGGUUUUGCUGUCACUUAUAGAUGGAUCCGCGCCGCAUUAGCUAGUUGGUAAGGUAACGGCUUACCAAGGCAACGAUGCGUAGCCGACCUGAGAGGGUGAUAGGCCACACUAGAACUGAGACACGGUCCAGACUCCUACGGGAGGCAGCAGUAGGGAAUCUUCCGCAAUGGGCGAAAGCAUGACGGAGCAGCGCCGCGUGAGUGAUGAAGAUCUUCGGAUCGUAAAACUCUGUUAUUAGGGAAGAACAAAUGUGUAAGUAACUAUGCACGUCUUGACGGUACCUAAUCAGAAAGCAACGGCUAACUACGUG
rnacentral:rRNA from 1 species